AGCGAACGCUGGCGGCAGGCUUAACACAUGCAAGUCGAGCGGGCAUCCUUGUGGUGUCAGCGGCAGACGGGUGAGUAACGCGUGGGAACGUGCCCUUCGGUUCGGAAUAACUCAGGGAAACUUGAGCUAAUACCGGAUACGUGCGAGAGCAGAAAGGUUUAUCUGCCGAAGGAUCGGCCCGCGUCUGAUUAGCUAGUUGGUGAGGUUAUGGCUCACCAAGGCGACGAUCAGUAGCUGGUCUGAGAGGAUGAUCAGCCACACUGGGACUGAGACACGGCCCAGACUCCUACGGGAGGCAGCAGUGGGGAAUAGUGGACAAUGGGGGCAACCCUGAUCCAGCCAUGCCGCGUGAGUGAUGACGGCCUUAGGGUUGUAAAGCUCUUUUCUUCGGGACGAUAAUGACGGUACCGGAGGAAUAAGCCCCGGCUAACUUCGUG
rnacentral:rRNA from 1 species